UUCAUAGAGGAAGUGAGAAUUGACCUGGUCUCUGAAAAAAGGGAAUGGAGGGAAGUAAAAUGAAAGUUUCUGGAGCUUGGGGAAAUGGUCCCUCUUUUUUAUCUUUGUGUCCCUGAUGCCCAGAGCAGGGUCUGAGACUUAAUAGGCCUCCAAUUUAUGGUUGUUGCUUGCUGACUGACUCUGAAGGAUAGGUGAGAAGUGGAAUUUGGGAAAGCAAGAAGAGAGGACAUUCCAGGACAGCAAAUACUUAGGGUCCAGAGAUACAGUCUACUCUCUAAAAGAUCCAGUAUAUGUCUCCAGGUUCACUGCUUCUUCUCAAGAGAGUGCUCCUCUGUGUCCUGAGUCACCGUGCCUCCUGUCAGUUUGGUGCUCCCAGGGAAAACUGAUUCAAAUUAGGAAAAGAGAAAAUAGAAUCUGCUGCAAAUGGGGAGAGAAAUGUUACCGAGAUGAGCAUUGGAUAGAAAGAGCCAGAAAACACAUGUCCAGUUCCAUGAGAAAUGCUGCAGUUCAGCAAAUCAAGAGCUCCCUUGAUUACCUCGUUUAGACAUCCAUUAUCUCCUUUAAUACUCAGACAACUCAAUGAGAUGAAGAAAUGGCUUUUUCAAGAUUUUUUAGUGUGUGAAUCCUGUGUCCCCAGGCAAAAUCUACAUUCAUUCCCCUCACCUCAUCCCAAGGCACCUGACAACCGGAAAAGGAGCAGACGAAAGAAACCUGUUCCACACCCAAAAUUUAAACCCCACAUCCUGUAUUUAGUCCCCAAUUUCAAAUUGAGUCUCCAACCCUCCCUGGUCCUUAACAUCCUGCCACUCAUAGUUCCACAAUACAAUUCCUCUGGAAAUGGGAUAAUGGAAACCGGUAUCACUAGAACCCCAAGAAAAAUCCCCACUCAAACUGUUACACCUUCCCCUCCAAAACCAACUUUUGCCCACUACUCUCUUCUACAUUUAGCAUUUGGCUAUGCUCACACUGACUAGAUCAUCAGCAAAUCCUCACUGUAUGCUAAAUGGACCCAAUCGAGACCCUAGCAGUAGUUCCCCCGGUAAAGUUUUCCCUAGUCCAAGAGAACCUUCAACCCCCUUCCCCCAAUCCCAAAUCAAACUCAGGCAGAAAAAGGAAAAAGAACUGGAAUUUCCCUUGGUGUAAGCGGAAGCAAAGAGCUGAUCAGAGAUCCAAGCUGUUUGGCUUUGGCUAAUAUUCAAGUGAGUCUGCCUUUCUUGAACCGAAUCUGUCUAACAUACAAUGGAGACAAGGAAAGAAGAAUGACCCAGUGGAAGUCAGACUGGGAAUGCUAUAAACAUAAUUUCCCUGGAUUUUAGAAAUUCAUUUUAUGAAGUCCCUUGUGUUCUUGUCUUUCUUUUUUAUUAUGAAUUUAACAAACAUCAAAGAAAUGAACAUAGGGAAGAAUUUGGGGAAAGAGUAAUAUACAAGGUUGAU